rnacentral:lncRNA from 1 species
GUGUAAUGUAAAAGAACCUUAAUUCACUCCGAGUGUACAAAAAUUAUCCCCCAAAAUUCAGUACCAGAGCAUUGCAUGCCUCAACUUUUUUGAUUGCUUUUUUGUAGCUAAUUGAAGUUGUGAAAUCAAAUUGGGGCAAAAGUACUAGUAAUCUGAUUUCCCAAAGCUGUUGCUGCGAUUUUCAGAACAACCAUAUUUCGCAAUUGAAGGCAGAUCGGCAACAAAUUGUGCAAAUUUGAUAUCGUUUGACCAAAAUUUGUAUUCUACAUCAACCUAAUCAGCAUUUAUUCGGUAAGUUCUUUACUCGAUAUGUUUUUAGAAUUUACCAUACCCAUUAGAUUAGUUUUUAUCAUAUAUGGGUAUUACUAUUCUGAUUGGUAUACGACAAAAUUAAUCCAUCGUCUUAUAUAUAUACCUUAUUUUUAUUUUGGCUUUUAGUUUUCUUGGUGUUUUAAGUAUUGUUGAAGUACUGGCAUGUUUGUUUCAUUUGUGUUUGAUUCUUAAUUAUAGUAGCAACAUUACAUUUUUAGGAACUAUUUAUUGUUGAAUGUAGCUCAAGUUUAGGGUAAAAGAUUGGCUUAGUACUGCUUGUUGUUUCUGCUUAUUAGUAUGUUCCUGAUAUUGGAAUGUAAUAAUUUUUCUUCAUGUUAUUGUAGAAACAAUUAAGUAUAUGUAUGUAACAAUUUUUGCAUUCAGAUUAUUUAAACCAAACUUUGUUAUAUCUGGUUUGCAAAAUCUAAUUUUUGCUGAACUCAGUAUCACUUUUGACAGACUGUUAAUCUUUGAAGUUGCUCCCCUUUUUUCCCUCAAGUUGUUGAUAAAUUAAAAUAUAUGUCAAAUUGUGAUAAAAAUUAAGUUAAAUGAAAAACAAAAUUCUAGAACAGUCUUGAGCUUCGCUCAGUGUACUAAGUAGAUGGUGUUUGGAACAGGUGUCUUUGUUCUGUUUUGUCGCUUCUUGUUCUCUAUAUUGCUCUGUGUAGCACGUCUGUUCUCCCUGUAAAUUUUAGUUAAAUAAUUGUUUACGUAUGAAUUUGUUUCCAAUUUGUUAGCGAUUUUGCGUUCUUUUUUUCCUUUAAUAUUUUUUUUGACAAGUGUUAUCGAUUAUAAAUAUUUGGUGAACACUUUAUGGAUCAAGUACUUUAUUUAAUAUAACUACUGUUCUGACUGUUCAGUACUUCGUUAAGGUUGUGAAUAGAAGGGUGAUAAAUAGAAGUUGUACUGAUAAGUAAUGUCAGGAUAACUUUAUUGAGAAUUGGACAUGCAAUUGAAACUUUAACUUCUUAUGUCUCUAAUUAUGAAUUGCACAGUGAAUUUGUUAAUUGAGGACCAUAUAGUGUCCUAUAAUUGUUGCUCAAAUUUAGUUGCUUGGUAAUAGAUCAUCAAAUUUUAAUUGUAGAAUUUUGGAUGAAUUUGUCCAUUAACAUUUUUACUUGUAGUUCAUGUGAUUAUUUUUAUGUCUAAUGCUAGUGUAUUGAGUUCUAUUAAAAACUUUGUAUUGCUUUUUGUUUGAAUAGUUUCAAAUUUUAUUCUCAUAUGCUCAAAAUGUUAGUAAUUAUGUUCAUCUGUUGUCAUUGUUAUUAUCCACACUGUUGGUUUUUGACACUACAUUUUUUUGAUGGUCAUGGAUAUCAUGGAUCGUCAUUUAGGCAAACUUAUAGAUGCUACCCUGCAUCCUUUAUAAAAUGCAGUGUGAAUAUCUAAUUUUUCUUUUGAAUUUGUUCCAGUUAUAAGCAACGCAUUGAAGAACUCCAAAUCUUUCUUACCAUCGUCUUUCGAGAAUUCAUCCGAUGAUUCUUCGCUGUCGGAAUCUUCGGAAUCGUCGAUAACCCCUUUCUUCUUGAGCUCGUCUAAUCGCUGAAAAUCCUCGCGUUUCUUGUUGUGCUCGUAACGGCGAGCAAAUUCUUUGUUGAUUUCGAUCUUGAAUAUGUCGUUUGAUUCGUCCGAGG